UACGUAGGGUGCGAGCGUUGUCCGGAAUUACUGGGCGUAAAGAGCUCGUAGGUGGUUUGUCGCGUCGUCUGUGAAAUUCCGGGGCUUAACUUCGGGCGUGCAGGCGAUACGGGCAAUACUUGAGUGCUGUAGGGGAGACUGGAAUUCCUGGUGUAGCGGUGGAAUGCGCAGAUAUCAGGAGGAACACCGAUGGCGAAGGCAGGUCUCUGGGCAGUAACUGACGCUGAGGCUCGAAAGCGUGGGGAGCAAACAGGAUUAGAUA
rnacentral:rRNA from 1 species